GAAAUGCGAAAGGCAAUGCGAAUUGCAGAAUUCCGCGAAUCAUCAGAUCUUUGAACGCAACUGGCGCCAACCGGAUAUCCGGUUGGCAUGCUUGUUUCAGUGUCUUAUUUUUUGCAGAUCUAAAUGUGAUUGAUGUUUCUAUACGGGAACAUCUCUCAUGAAAUUAGAAUGUGCGUGUACUUCAACACAACGAAGUAGUCACAUGUGUCUAUGUGAUCUCGUUGAUGAGAGGAGUACAUUGUAUUGUGCACAUAGCAAUGCAAAACAACUUAUCAAAAAGUAUCUGAAAUCAAGCAAGAUCACCCGCUGAACUUAA
rnacentral:misc_RNA from 1 species